rnacentral:rRNA from 1 species
UACGGAGGGGGCUAGCGUUGUUCGGAAUUACUGGGCGUAAAGCGCACGUAGGCGGCUUUGUAAGUUAGAGGUGAAAGCCCAGGGCUCAACCCUGGAAUUGCCUUUAAGACUGCAUCGCUUGAACAUCGGAGAGGUAAGUGGAAUUCCGAGUGUAGAGGUGAAAUUCGUAGAUAUUCGGAAGAACACCAGUGGCGAAGGCGACUUACUGGACGAUUGUUGACGCUGAGGUGCGAAAGCCAGGGGAGCGAACGGG